UGUCUUUUAAUAUCUCUCUCCUUAUUAUGUAUGCAAAUGAAAUAAUCACAUAUUUGUUGAGAGUAAUUCUUAAUUAGCUCAGAAAUAACCUUGAUUGAUGAGGUAACUACUCUUGAGUAUGAAUUAGUCCGAUGAAUAAGCUUCUACAAUAGUAUGUGGUAGCUUAGAAUUUGUGUCAUGCUCAUUUAGCCGUGGCCCGUGAGCUCGUGACAAGAUUUUAUCUUACAAACAACCAACUUUUUUGAAAAAUAAAUUGUACAAUUAAUAAAAUUAGCAACGUCCAAGGACUUAUCAAAAUUUAUUCAUCGAUAUGCAAGGAUAAUUAUUACAAUUCAAACAUCUUGACGGUGCGGUGUGUGCUAUAUCUUUGUGCACAUCUUCGAGCAGGAAUCCACACAGCUUUGCACUUUUUCUGGGGUGCUCCCGUUGGCACACAAGGAAGAAGCACAGCCGAGCUUGCAGAAGUAUACGGCGUCGUUUGGAGGGUUGCACGUCUUUAAGCAAUCACCGACGCAUUCUUUCAAGUCUUGGCGCGGGUGAUAAACCUUACACUUCUUUGAGCACUCAUCGUUGCAAGAUGCUGUAGACUCCCCAAUAAGAAGCCCCAGCAUCAAAGCAACCAUCAAAACAAAUUGAACUGUAUUCUUCUCCAUUUUCUUUUUCUUUUAUGUAUAUGCAAGAGAAAAUUAAUACCUCAAGCAAAGGUGAAUAGCAAAUCAUUUCCUUGAAGAACUGUAUGUGAUACAUCAUAUAUAUACAUCAAUUACGGGAAUUAAUAGCACUAAGCUACUUAAGAGAGCUACGCGUGGCUUAAUGAAUUGAAGCCAACAAGCUGACUGCUUCACUUGCUUCCUUUUAUUCGGUGCCGAUGUGAGGUGUAAUUUUGAAAGCUGCUUCAUUUCGUGAAUCGGAAAGCAAAAACAUUGAGUAAAAAGAGAGAGGCGAAACAAAACAGAAGAGAGAAAACAAAGAAAAACAAAAAAAAAAUAAGGGAAUUAAUAGAGAAAAACAAAAGUUGCCGAGAGUGAAAAACGAAAAAUAAGGAGCAUAAUUACUCAUUAAAAAUCGAAUGUUAAACAAGAAAAGGUGCUCUUUGUUUAAGAGCCCCUUUGUUAAAAAAAAAAAAUCGAGUGUUAUGAGUCUAUCAUGGAUUAAAGUGAUAAAUAUAAAUUAUGAGAGGACUAAAAUGUUAUUCACUCUAAUUAAAAAAAGAUUUAAUUUAAAAAUUAUUUAUGAGAAAAUCUUGAGAAUUAAAUAAAAAAUUUUAUACGAAAAAUUUUAGUUUUAAUGUUUCCAUUCGACCAAUUAAUAGUUUUUAAUUUAAAAAUCAACUAAUUAAUAGUUUUUAAUUUAAAAAUUAAGUAAUAAAUAUAAUUUUUUAUUUUUUAAAAAUUGCAUUGAAAGAGCUAUAUUGGCUUAUAAUAUAUCAUAAGCCACAUGUCUCAAAUACUAUGUUUUAAGUUACCAAGAACCUAAGAUUCAAUCCUCGGUUAGGACGUUUCACAACCCUUGUUAAGGAUAAAAUGGCUUUCACACGCUAAGAUCUAAUAGAAUAGAUAACAGAUUUUUACUAGCUUGACACAUUCGUGUACGCAGGACGUGCGGGCGCACAGGAGUUCGAUCAAAUUGGUCUUGGAUUUGCACUUCCCCUUUGCGCACACGUGCGUGGAGAGAACCUUUAUCUUUAUAAUUCUUGUUCAUGCAUGGUUAAGUGUUUAUAUAUAAACACUAAUCUCUAGGCUUCUUUUUCCCAUGUGGGAUAAACCUCAUUUUCUUUCAAAUUUCCAACUUCAAGGAUGAACUUUGAGAGACAAUUUCUCAUUCACCCAAGCACCAUUUUGAGAAAAUAAAAUUAUAUUUUUGAACUAUUAACGGAAUAGAAUCCGAACCUCACAAGAUUUCUCACUUUCGCUAAGUGGAACCCACUCAAAAUGUGCCCUCAAAAUAGCAUGAUAUGCUAUUUUUUUUUCAACAAUCUAUUCUACGAACAACCAAUUUUUUUACAAAAAUGUAUUGAAAGUUAUAAAGGUAGCGACGUCAAAGGACUUAUCAAAUUUUAUUCAUUCAAUUGAAGUAAUUAUUACAAAUUAAUCAAGCAUCCUUGACAGUGCGGUGACUAUAUCUUUGUGCACAUCUUCGAACAGGAAUCCGCACAGCUUUGCACUUUCUCUUGGGUGCUAAGGUUGGCACACAAGGAAGAAGCACAGCCGAGCUUGCAGAAAUGUACGGCGCCGUUUGGAGAGUUGCAUGUCUUUAAGCAAUCAACGAUGCAUUCUUUCAAAUCUUGUCCCGGGUGAAAAAACUUACACUUCUUGUGGCAGUCAUCUUGGCAAGAUGCUGUGGACUGCCCAGCAAGAAGCCCUAAUAUCAAAGAAGCCAUCAAAACAAAUUGAACUGUAUUUUUCUCCAUUUUCUUUUUCUUUUAUGUAUAAGCAAGAGAAAAUAUUUCAAGCAAAACGAUGAGUAGCAACUAAGUUCCUUGAAGGGCUUUUA
rnacentral:lncRNA from 1 species